UUCUGUAGGGUNGAACCUGCGGAAGGAUCAUUACCUAGAGUUUGUAGACUUCGGUCUGCUACCUCUUACCCAUGUCUUUUGAGUACCUUCGUUUCCUCGGCGGGUCCGCCCGCCGAUUGGACAACAUUCAAACCCUUUGCAGUUGCAAUCAGCGUCUGAAAAAACAUAAUAGUUACAACUUUCAACAACGGAUCUCUUGGUUCUGGCAUCGAUGAAGAACGCAGCGAAAUGCGAUAAGUAGUGUGAAUUGCAGAAUUCAGUGAAUCAUCGAAUCUUUGAACGCACAUUGCGCCCCUUGGUAUUCCAUGGGGCAUGCCUGUUCGAGCGUCAUUUGUACCUUCAAGCUCUGCUUGGUGUUGGGUGUUUGUCUCGCCUCUGCGUGUAGACUCGCCUUAAAACAAUUGGCAGCCGGCGUAUUGAUUUCGGAGCGCAGUACAUCUCGCGCUUUGCACUCAUAACGACGACGUCCAAAAGUACAUUUUUACACUCUUGACCUCGGAUCAGGUAGGGAUACCCGCUGAACUUAAGCAUAUCAAUAAGC
rnacentral:rRNA from 1 species